AACGAACGCUGGCGGCAGGCCUAACACAUGCAAGUCGAGCGGGCGUAGCAAUACGUCAGCGGCGCACGGGUGAGUAACGCGUGGGAACCUGCCCUUUGGUUCGGAACAACCCUGGGAAACUAGGGCUGAUACCGGAUACGCCCCUGAUCUCGCGAGAGGUUGGGGGGAAAGAUUUAUCGCCGAAGGAGGGCCCGCGUCCGAUUAGCUAGUUGGUGGGGUAAUGGCCUACCAAGGCUGCGAUCGGUAGCCGGUCUGAGAGGACGAUCGGCCACACUGGGACUGAGACACGGCCCAGACUCCUACGGGAGGCAGCAGUGGGGAAUAUUGGACAAUGGGCGCAAGCCUGAUCCAGCCAUGCCGCGUGGGUGAUGAAGGCCUU
rnacentral:rRNA from 1 species